UACGUAGGGUGCGAGCGUUAAUCGGAAUUACUGGGCGUAAAGCGUGCGCAGGCGGUUCGUUGUGUCGGCGGGGAAAGCCCCGGGCUUAACCUCGGAACUGCCUUCGAUACUGCGGGUCUCGAGUCCGGGAGAGGUGAGUGGAAUUCCUAGUGUAGAGGUGAAAUUCGUAGAUAUUAGGAAGAACACCAGUGGCGAAGGCGGCUCACUGGCCCGGUACUGACGCUGAGGCGCGAAAGCGUGGGGAGCAAACAGG
rnacentral:rRNA from 1 species